UUUUCUCAAUUUAUAGCCAGAGUUAUCAAACGUUAUUUAAAUAAUAUAAAGAGCAUUCUAUCAAAAAUUUAAAUGGUUUAGAUUGUUGUACAUCGUUAAACAAGCAGACGGCUUAUACAGAUCGUCAAAAACUAUCGUUUUGCAAUUCUUUGAUCACUAUGUAAAUAAUUUCUAAAAAAUAUGAAAUUUAAUUUUUAGACACUUUAAAUACUCUAAAUCAACUAUAACGGUUUCGAUCAUCAAUUAGAGAUUUUUAUCAUCAAAAAUUACUUAAUAGAACGAAGGUCGCCGUCCUUCUAAAAGAAUAGUAGCUGAAUUCCUGUAUUAUAUGUACAUAUAAAGGUAGAAAUUUUGCACUAUAUAUACUUAUCCAAAAAUUAUUGUAUUUUUACUAGUUUAUUAAGGAGGGGUUUGGUUCAGGGUAUAUAAAAUAAAGUAAAAAAUUAUUUUCGGUAUAAAAAUUAUUUUUUCUAUUGUUUGGUUCCCCGUGAAAUUAU
rnacentral:lncRNA from 1 species